CUUAGAAGGGAUAAAGAAUAAUAACAAGAAAGAAGACAAAAUGGUCACUCUUGACUUGUCUGGGUCGACUGGAGGCUUCUUCUCUUGCAACUCCAGUGCUGUUACUAAGUUUGUUCCUUCUGGGCAGACUAUCUUCUUCUGCUAUUUGGUCAAUAUCAGUGAAGAGCAGGAGGUGGAGUUCAGGAGGAGCAUUAGUAUUGAGGUAGAGAAUACGAGGGAGACCCCGAAGAGUGUGAAUAACUACCAGUUGAGGGCUAAUAGUAGAGAUUAUAGUGAAGUG
rnacentral:ribozyme from 1 species